rnacentral:rRNA from 1 species
GACGAACGCUGGCGGCGUGCCUAAUACAUGCAAGUAGAACGCUGAAGGAGGAGCUUGCUUCUCCGGAUGAGUUGCGAACGGGUGAGUAACGCGUAGGUAACCUGCCUGGUAGCGGGGGAUAACUAUUGGAAACGAUAGCUAAUACCGCAUAACAGUAGAUGUUGCAUGACAUUUGCUUAAAAGGUGCAAUUGCAUCACUACCAGAUGGACCUGCGUUGUAUUAGCUAGUUGGUGAGGUAACGGCUCACCAAGGCGACGAUACAUAGCCGACCUGAGAGGGUGAUCGGCCACACUGGGACUGAGACACGGCCCAGACUCCUACGGGAGGCAGCAGUGGGGAAUCUUCGGCAAUGGACGGAAGUCUGACCGAGCAACGCCGCGUGAGUGAAGAAGGUUUUCGGAUCGUAAAGCUCUGUUGUAAGAGAAGAACGAGUGUGAGAGUGGAAAGUUCACACUGUGACGGUAUCUUACCAGAAAGGGACGGCUAACUACGUG